rnacentral:rRNA from 1 species
UACGUAGGGUGCAAGCGUUGUCCGGAAUUAUUGGGCGUAAAGAGCUCGUAGGUGGCCUGUCGCGUCGGCUGUGAAAACUCGGGGCUCAACUCCGAGCUUGCAGUCGAUACGGGCAGGCUAGAGUUCGGCAGGGGAGACUGGAAUUCCUGGUGUAGCGGUGAAAUGCGCAGAUAUCAGGAGGAACACCUAUUGCGAAGGCAGCUCGCUGGGACGGUACUGACGCUGAGGCGCGAAAGCGUGGGAAGCGAACAGG